CACAUGACGGUGCGUACAAGGAUAACCGAGGCAAUUCUGCGGCUAAUACUUGGAGGGGCAACCCUGCAUUUGCCGGCGGGACCAGAGCGGCGAGCCACGGCAACUGGAGGACGCAACAGUGUUGCGCGCGUCAUACAAAUGUCUGGCCUAUCAACUUUCGAUGGUACGGUAGAGGCGUACCAUGGUGGCGACGGGUGACGGGGAAUUGGGGUUCGAUUCCGGAGAGGGGGCCUGAGAGACGGCCGCCACGACCACGGUCGGCAACAGGCGCGAACAUUUUCCACUGCUCGACGAGCGAGAAAGUGAAAGGGCGUGGGGGGGAGAGCCCUAGGGCUCUCGAUUCCAAAGAGGGUUGUGUAAAGACGGAUCCGAAGACGACUGGGGGGUAAGCAAGGUGCCAGCAUCCGCGGUAAUUCCUUUUCCAGCAGUGUAUAUUCGUGUUGCUGCAGCUAAAAAGCUCGUAGUUGACAGGAAAGGGAGCAGGUGUGCGCUCGCGCACUGGCGGUCCAAGGCACGAAGCGAUUCGUGGGGCAACUGUGAGGAAAUUAUGGUGUUCAUGACAGGCGCAAGCCGGAAUGCCGCAGCAUGGAAUGGCACGCGAGUGCAGGAGGUCGCGUACUCGAGGGAAUAGGAGCAGUCGGGGGCAUUGGGAUUCGGGCGUCAGAGGUGAAAUUCUUGGAUUGGCCGAGGACGGACGGAUGCGCAGGCGCUUGCCCAGGAUGUGUCCGUUAAUCAAGAGCGAGAGUCGGGGGAUCGAAGACGAUUAGAUACCGUCGUAGUCUUGACUGUAAACGAUGCCGAGGCGGGGCGGGCGCGCUGGCGAGCGUGUCUGCCGCGGGGCGAAAGCCACUCUGGUUCUGGGGAGAGUAUGGUCGCAAGGCUGAAAUUUAAAGGAAUUGACGGAAGGGCACACCAGGCGUGGAAUGUGCGGCUUUAUCUGAUUCAACACGGAAAAUCUUACCGGGUCCGGACAUGGUGGGGAGCAACCUGGUUGGCGAUCGUUUGCGAUUCUAUGGGGGGUGGUGCAUGGCCGUUUGUAGUUGGUGGAGUGAUUUGUCUGGUUAAUUCCGAUAACGAGCGAGACCUGGGUUGCGUGUUGGGGACGGGUGCGGCGCACCUGGGCGCGGGCGCAAGACGCCGACCGUGCAGGUCGGGGAGGCGACGGGCAAUAACAGGUCUGUGAUGCCCUUUGAUGUUCUGGGCUGCACGCGCGUUACAAUGGGCGGGGGAGCGAGGGGGCGCUGCGAAAGCGGGGUCGGAUCGGGAGGCCCGCCCGUGCUGGGGAUGGACGAUUGCAACUGUUGGUCUUG
rnacentral:rRNA from 1 species